AUUGAACGCUGGCGGCAGGCUUAACACAUGCAAGUCGAACGAGUGGCGGACGGGUGAGUAAUGCUUGGGAAUCCAGCUUAUGGAGGGGGAUAACUACGGGAAAAUGUAGCUAAUACCGCGUACCAUAGGAUGAGCCCAUGUGGGAUUAGGUAGUUGGUGAGGUAAAGGCUCACCAAGCCGAAGAUCUCUAGCUGGUCUGAGAGGAUGAUCGGCCACACUGGGACUGAGACACGGCCCAGACUCCUACGGGAGGAAGCAGUGGGGAAUAUGGCAAAAUGGGCGCAAGCCUGAUGCAGCAAUGCCGCGUGUAUGAAGAAGGCCUUAGGGUUGUAAAGUACUUUCAGCGGGGAGGCGGUACCCGAAGAAGAAGCAACGGCUAACUCCGUGCCAGCAGCCGCGGUAAUAG
rnacentral:rRNA from 1 species